rnacentral:rRNA from 1 species
GACGAACGCUGGCGGCGUGCUUAACACAUGCAAGUCGAACGGAAAGGCCCUGCUUUUGUGGGGUGCCCGAGUGGCGAACGGGUGAGUAACACGUGAGUAACCUGACCUUGACUUUGGGAUAACUUAAGGAAACUGGGGCUAAUAUCGGAUAGGAGCUCCUGCUGCAUGGUGGGGGUUGGAAAGUUUCGGCGGUUGGGGAUGGACUAGCGGCUUAUCAGCUUGUUGGUGGGGUAGUGGCUUACCCAGGCUUUGACGGGUAGCCGGCCUGGGAGGGUGACCGGCCUCAUUGGGACUGAGAUACGGCCCAGACUCCUACGGGAGACAGCAGUGGCGAAUAUUGCACAAUGAUCGGAAGCCUGAUGCAGCAACGCCGCGUUCGGGAUGACGGCCUUCUGGUUGUAAACCGCUUUCGCCUGUGACGAAGCGUGAGUGACGGUAAUGAGUAAAGAAGCACCGGCUAACUACGUG